CAAUCCUAAAUAAAAUCUGUCUUUAAAAAAUACAUUUUACAAAUGACAUUUAAUAUGAUUAGAGUAUAGGAAUCCAUAUAUAUAUAAGAGAUAUUAUUUUUGUAUUACAUUUAUAAGAGGCAUUGUCUCAUGUAAUUUAAAUCAUAAUAACAAAAAAUGGGUUUUAUUUUUCUAUACAGUCCUCAAACCUGGAAGAUAUGUUUUGUUCCUAACCAAUCCAUUCUCUAAGUGAAGUGAAGCCUGGCUGUUGGUCUUCCUUUGGGAAAUAUACAGGGAAAAGAAAAAAAACUACUUGAGUGUUUCUACUGACCCCCCACCAGAGAUCUGCUUAUGAGUGCAUGGGGAUUGCGGUGGACCUUCAUCUCCUGUUUAAAACAGACAUUAGAGUAUGACAGAUAAAAAGUAGAAUCCAUGACCCCCCACAGGCAGGGAGCUGGAUCUGACUGUAGAAUGAGCUGAAAGUAGGAGAAAAGCCGUAUUUAUACAGUGGAUGACGUCACAAUGCAUAGGUAAGCAUAUUUUU